rnacentral:rRNA from 1 species
AUUGAACGCUGGCGGCAGGCCUAACACAUGCAAGUCGAACGAGUGGCGGACGGGUGAGUAAUGUCUGGGAAACUGCCUGAUGGAGGGGGAUAACUACUGGAAACGGUAGCUAAUACCGCAUACCAUCAGAUGUGCCCAGAUGUGAUUAGCGUGUUGGGGGGGUAACGGCUAACCAAGGCGACGAUCCCUAGCUGGUCUGCGAGGAUGACCAGCAACACGGGAACGUAGACACGGUCCAGACUCUGACGGGAGGCAGCAGUGGGGAAUAUUGCACAAUGGGGGCAAGCCGGAGACAGCCAGGCCGCGUGUGUGAAGAAGGCCUUCGGGUUGUAAAGUACGUUCAGCGGGGAGGCGUUACCCGCAGAAGAAGCACCGGCUAACUCCGUGCCAGCAGCCGCGGUAAUAC